rnacentral:rRNA from 1 species
GGGGGCAUCUGGUCGCGCCCAGGCGCACCCAGAACCCUUUGUGAACUUAUACCUUACUGUUGCCUCGGCGCAUGCCGGCCCCCCUGGGGGCCCCUCCUUCUGGAGGAGCAGGCACGCCGGCGGCCAACCUAACUCUUGUUUUUACACUGAAACUCUGAGAAUAAAACAUAAAUGAAUCAAAACUUUCAACAACGGAUCUCUUGGUUCUGGCAUCGAUGAAGAACGCAGCGAAAUGCGAUAAGUAAUGUGAAUUGCAGAAUUCAGUGAAUCAUCGAAUCUUUGAACGCACAUUGCGCCCUCUGGUAUUCCGGAGGGCAUGCCUGUUCGAGCGUCAUUUCAACCCUCAAGCCUGGCUUGGUGAUGGGGCACUGCUUUUACCCAAAAGCAGGCCCUGAAAUUCAGUGGCGAGCUCGCCAGGACCCCGAGCGCAGUAGUUAAACCCUCGCUCUGGAAGGCCCUGGCGGUGCCCUGCCGUUAAACCCCCAACUUCUGAAAAUUUGACCUCGGAUCAGGUAGGAAUACCCGCUGAACUUAAGCAUAUCAAUAAGCGGAGGAA